GGAGCUAUUGACAGUUGAUGGCAGUUGAAGGAGAGAAGGGUCACUGUCCUUUGGGAGGAUGUGACUGUUGGUAGGUGGCUAGUUCCCUGGUGGGUGGCAUCACACCCACGUGCGUGUGAGCAGCUCUAACUGGCUUGGGAUGAUGAAUGGCAACAAAGAGAAAUAAAGCGGAUAUGAAGCUGGGAAGGAGGGAGCAUUGGGGAGUUGGAGGAAAUGUGGAUGAAAUAGCAUCAAUAUCCAGGAAUGGGCUGACUUCCCCCUAAUGUGGGUUCAAGAUAUAGCCAGUAUCUGCAGCAGCCUUCAGAUGAAGAUGUAGAACUCUUAGCUCUGCCUGCACCAUGCCCGCCUCAAUGCUGCCCUGCUCCCACCUUGAUGAUGAUGGACUGAACCACUGAACCUGUAAGCCAGCCCCAAUUAAAUGUUGUUCAUUAUAAGACUUGCCUUGGCCAUGGUGUCUGUGCACAGCAGUAAAACCCUAACUAAGACACCAGGUCAGCCUCACUGCUCCUCUAGGGACUUGGUUCCCAGGCUUGCACUCUGACCCAGGAGAUUUGCUAUAUUAUCUGUUAAUCCCUAUGGGAAAAAAAUACCUUCAAGGACAGUAUUUUUUAUGUGUGUCCAGAAUAUCCAAGCUCACAAGAGAGGCUGUGGAGGAGCCUCACACUAAAUUGUUUACAAUGGGGUUGUGAAAGCAUAGGCUCCAUCAACUGGGAACCCUCCUUCAAAUCUGACUUCAUCAAGCUAGUUAGAAAUGGAACACACACACACACACACACACACACACACACACACACACACACGCUUUUCUCAGACUUCUAUUGCUCACAGCUCUCACCCAAAUCUACCUUGCAAUGCCCUGACACUCAGCUUCACAGGCAAAGGAAAACAGGCCACAGGACGGGAUAUGGGUUAUGUUUGGGGGUUGAGAUUACAUCAGAGAGUAGGGGGCUCAUAUGGAGGAAUUCUGUUCACUGUCAGACAGUUGUUAGACAGGUUCUAGGGAUAUCCAUUGGACCCAAUAAAGUCCUAGCAAGGCCUUUGCUCACAUCUAUUCCUCCCACCCCUCACCAAGAGGCAACUUCACUAACCUCCUGCUCCAACAAAACCCCACUUCUCAUCCUGGCUCGGAACCCUGCCAAUGCUCCAGCAGCCCAAGUAAGACUUCUCUCAGUCAAGGGCCUAGCAACUUUCCAACUUUUUAACCUUUUCCUGUCCUGACACUGGUUUCAGCCUAAUCUAAACCAUAUGGGAAACUGUUAUGUUCUGUUAUGUAAGUCUCUUUAUGAAGUAUGUUGUUGUGGUUUGCCCUGAAGUUAUCUGCAUUUUGAUGCUAAUUCCACUGCCCCGGGGACAGCUGCCUAGUCACUACUCAGGAAUCAGGUGACUUCACCAGAACCUUCUCCCCGUUGAAUUUGUAAAGUACAGGUGAGGGGCAGGUACAGGAUAGAAGGAGGCCUGUCAUUGGAGGAGAAGGAAGGAUGGGCGGGAGAGAAGUUUGAAGGAAGAGGAGGAGACUGGAAUAGAAAGGAAGAGAGAGGAGGAAGAGGGAGAGAAGCUGCGGCAGGACAAUGGAGGCUGACGUUAAGAUUCCACGCUGCACCUUUAAAGGAGCCCAUCAGUCCAAUCUGCUACGGAUGCACUGACUCUAUUGGGGCACUGCCUUCUCAGCCACAGCCACCUUCAAAGCUGAGCCACCCAGACCCUGCUGGCCACACUAACAGCUGUGCCUGGUAGAUCCGGAUCUGAGAAAUGGCGCCAAGGCCACGGCAGAAGCAGAACGGACUGUUGCCGCUGCUCCAGAGCCAUGGAAGUGAGGCCAUCCUGUGUGGGUAAGAAAGCCUCAAAGAAACCACAGAAAGUCAGCCCAGUAGCCCUGGCCCAAGUGAGUUUUGGGAGCUCCCAUGGUGCUUUGGGUCUCUGGGUUCUAAUCUGUCAAAUGUGUAAUGGGCCGGUUUUCAGGUCAAUCCGCACAUCUGUAUAAACAACCAAUUUAUUCUUCAUUUUUAUAAAACUGAGAAAAUAUACAUUCUUUUGAAAUAUUUCACAAAAAUAUACUUUCAUGUCAACCA